GGGGACUUAGAGGACUUGUCUUGAGACCAAAUAUUCUUGCUUGUUGUAGUACAAUGGCACUUGAUGAUAAUGUCAAGUUAAAGCUCUCUCCGUUUUGCCAUGUUCCGGCCGAAAAUACUGUCACUCUCUAUGACGUUCCAAAUAUUUGGCACAUUCCUUUACUACUAAGAUAAUCUUGAAGAACAAACUUCAACAAAAAGCGGCUUCUUCAAUAGACUGGCACAGCGUUUCCCAUUUGUUUUUAAUCUAUUGAGGAGAGAUCAUUCACUGUCAAAUGAUACUUUCAAAUAAGAUGUCAAGACGAUGAAUAUGACAAAUUCCAAUGAAGUGGGAAACAAAGUAGCUUUAGAAGGCAUAUCUGGAGGU